ACGCUGGCGGCGUGCCUAACACAUGCAAGUCGAACGAGGUCCAUGCAGUGGCAACACUGCGGAAGACCUAGUGGCGAACGGGUGAGUAACACGUGAGGAACCUGCCCCCGAAGACCGGGAUAACCCUCCGAAAGGAGAGCUAAUACCGGAUACCCCCACCUGGUCGCAUGGCCGGGUGAGGAAAUGGAUUCCGCUUCGGGAAGGGCCUCGCGGCCUAUCAGCUAGUUGGUGAGGUAACGGGCUCUCCAAGGCAUCGACGGGUAGCUGGUCUGAGAGGACGAUCAGCCACACUGGGACUGAGACACGGCCCAGACUCCUACGGGAGGCAGCAGUGGGGAAUCUUGCGCAAUGGGCGAAAGCCUGACGCAGCAACGCCGCGUGGGGGAUGAAGGCUCUCGGGUUGUAAACCCCUUUCAGCAGGGACGAAAUUGACGGUACCUGCAGAAGAAGCCCCGGCUAACUACGUGCCAGCAGCCGCGG
rnacentral:rRNA from 1 species